rnacentral:rRNA from 1 species
GACGGGGGGGGCAAGUGUUCUUCGGAAUGACUGGGCGUAAAGGGCACGUAGGCGGUGAAUCGGGUUGGAAGUGAAAGUCGCCAAAAAAGUGGCGGAAUGCUCUCGAAACCAAUUCACUUGAGUGAGACAGAGGAGACUGGAAUUCCUGGUGUAGCGGUGAAAUGCGCAGAUAUCAGGAGGAACACCGAUGGCGAAGGCAGGUCUCUGGGCAUUAACUGACGCUGAGGAGCGAAAGCAUGGGGAGCGAACAGG